AGAAGACGAGAAAGAGGAGAUUAGUCUACAUUUUUGUGGAUAAACUGUACAGUAGCGUUUUGGAGGCAACUGUACCUAGAUCUUAAUGGGAUGGAAAAGUUUUGAGGUUUGAUUUAUCAACCUCAAAAAUCUCCGGCAAGUGCCAGGAAGAAUGUUGUCAUAGAAAACGCUUGAACUGGAAAGAAUUUGUUGCUAUUUAUAUGUUUGUAGAUACAUAUCUCAAAUUUUAGCGUCUGUUUUUGUUUCCCCUUGUUGAUUAGCGCCAUUCGCAUGAUGUCAUUUGGAUCGCCAUUCGUUCUUUGCUACAAAACAUUCUAGCUAAUUCCACUCAAGCUCAGUUUCGAGUUCUGAGCCGGCUCUACGGGGCCUCCAACGACAAACAUUCAGAGAGUUCAAGGCGUAACCCAGUGACUCAUAGCAGAUGGUACACAUUUUCGGCACAUCAAGAAAUUAAUGGGUCGAAAGUAACACUAAAAAGCCAGUAUCGCGUAUUCCCGUUAAUUGAAUCUGGACGAUCACAAGGUGAAAGUUGCAUAUAUUUUCCACUGAAAUCCGUUGACACGAUUUCAUUUUGGUCGUGGGCCAAAAGUUUCGUUCGCCUGAGUCUCCCUGUGCUGAGAUUCACCCAAUUAUCCGUUCCAUUAUCCAACUGCUCUAGGCACUCCACCCACUUGGGAACUCACCGAUGGGCAUGGCUGCUG